rnacentral:lncRNA from 1 species
GAUCUGAUGGUUUUAUAAGGGGCUCUUCUCCCUUCGUUCAACACUUCUCCUUCCUGCCGCCUUGUGAAGAAGACGCCUUGCUUCCCCUUGGCCUUACACCAUGAUUGAAGUUCUUGCUGCAUCCUGUGAACUGCUGGAACUUGCUGAUUGCACUUCAUAGACAAUUCCCCAAAGCCUGCAUUUGCAAAGCUGGCCUUUUCCAUUUGGAACACUCCUAGCAGCUACCAGUGCCACCCUCCCCACAGCCUCUCUGGCAAAGUAUGCUGGGGAACUUGGGGAUUUUUGCUAAGCUGAUUAGUUAGAUAUUGUGCAUCUCAGUGUAGUUUCAAUUACUAUUUUUCAUAUUAUGAGUGAGUUUGUGCAUUUUUUCAUAUGUUUAAGGGUUAUUCACACUGGUUUUUCUAUGAGCGGUCUAUAUCCUUUGCCCGCUUCUUUUUCUAAGUUUCUUGUUUUUUUAUCCAUUUUGGGGAGCUCUUUUAUAUUAGGAAAUCCAUCCUUUGUCUUGAAUAUAACUGAACAUAUUUUUCCUUGGUGUUUAUAUUGAAAUCACUAUAUCUUUUGACAAUUGAUACUUGCCUUUUCUUUGUCCUGUGAAUUUGUCAUAUGCUGAGAGAUGAAUUAAAGUCUCUUUCUACCGCUG